AUUGAACGCUGGCGGCAGGCUUAACACAUGCAAGUCGAGCGGGGGAAGGUAGCUUGCUACCGGACCUAGCGGCGGACGGGUGAGUAAUGCUUAGGAAUCUGCCUAUUAGUGGGGGACAACAUCUCGAAAGGGAUGCUAAUACCGCAUACGUCCUACGGGAGAAAGCAGGGGAUCUUCGGACCUUGCGCUAAUAGAUGAGCCUAAGUCGGAUUAGCUAGUUGGUGGGGUAAAGGCCUACCAAGGCGACGAUCUGUAGCGGGUCUGAGAGGAUGAGCCGCCACACUGGGAGUGAGACACGGCCCAGACUCCUACGGGAGGCAGCAGUGGGGAAUAUUGGACAAUGGGGGGAACCCUGAUCCAGCCAUGCCGCGUGUGUGAAGAAGGCCUUAUGGUUGUAAAGCACUUUAAGCGAGGAGGAGGCUACUCUAGUUAAUACCUAGGGAUAGUGGACGUUACUCGCAGAAUAAGCACCGGCUAACUCUGUGCCAGCCGCCGCAGUAA
rnacentral:rRNA from 1 species